UACGUAGGGUGCAAGCGUUAAUCGGAAUUACUGGGCGUAAAGCGUGCGCAGGCGGUUAUGUAAGACAGAUGUGAAAUCCCCGGGCUCAACCUGGGAACUGCAUUUGUGACUGCAUGGCUAGAGUACGGUAGAGGGGGAUGGAAUUCCGCGUGUAGCAGUGAAAUGCGUAGAUAUGCGGAGGAACACCGAUGGCGAAGGCAAUCCCCUGGACCGGCAUUGACGCUGAGUGAGCGAAAGCCAGGGGAGCAAACGGG
rnacentral:rRNA from 1 species